rnacentral:rRNA from 1 species
GGGGGCAACCCUGAUCCAGCAAUGCCGCGUGUGUGAAGAAGGCCUUCGGGUUGUAAAGCACUUUUGUCCGGAAAGAAAUCGCGCUGGCUAAUACCCGGCGUGGAUGACGGUACCGGAAGAAUAAGCACCGGCUAACUACGUGCCAGCAGCCGCGGUAAUACGUAGGGUGCGAGCGUUAAUCGGAAUUACUGGGCGUAAAGCGUGCGCAGGCGGUUUUGUAAGACAGGCGUGAAAUCCCCGGGCUUAACCUGGGAAUGGCGCUUGUGACUGCAAGGCUAGAGUGCGUCAGAGGGGGGUAGAAUUCCACGUGUAGCAGUGAAAUGCGUAGAGAUGUGGAGGAAUACCGAUGGCGAAGGCAGCCCCCUGGGACGAGACUGACGCUCAUGCACGAAAGCGUGGGGAGCAAACAGGAUUAGAUACCCUGGUAGUCCACGCCCUAAACGAUGUCAACUAGUUGUUGGGGAUUCAUUUCUUCAGUAACGUAGCUAACGCGUGAAGUUGACCGCCUGGG